GGUUGAUCCUGCCGGACCUGACUGCUAUCGGAUUGGUACUAAGCCAUGCGAGUCGUUGUAGCAAUACAAGGCGGACUGCUCAGUAACACGUAGUUAACUUAACCUAUGGAUGGGAAUAACCUCGGGAAACUGAGAAUAAUACCCAAUGGGCCACAGUGCCUGGAAUGGCCUGUGGUUGAAAUGAUUUAUCGCCGUAGGAUAGGACUGCGGCCUAUCAGCUUGUUGGUGAGGUAAUGGCCCACCAAGGCUAUAACAGGUACGGGCUCUGAGAGGAGGGGCCCGGAGAUGGGUACUGAGACACGGACCCAGGCCCUAUGGGGCGCAGCAGGCGAGAAACCUUUGCAAUGUGCGAAAGCACGACAAGGUUAAUCCGAGUGUCUCCUGCUAAAGGAGUCUUUUGUCAGUUGUAGAAUCACUGGUGAAUAAGGGGUGGGCAAGUUCUGGUGUCAGCCGCCGCGGUAAAACCAGCACCUCGAGCGGUCAGGAGGUUUAUUGGGCCUAAAGCAUCCGUAGCCGGUUGCAUAAGUUUUCGGUUAAAUCUAUGCGCUUAACGUAUAGGCCGCCGAAAAUACUGUGCAGCUAGGGAGUGGGAGAGGUACACGGUACUCGAUAGGAAGGCGUAAAUCUUUGAUCUAUUGAG
rnacentral:rRNA from 1 species